rnacentral:lncRNA from 1 species
AAAAUUUAACAUUAAGUUUCUUUUGAAAUCAAGUCCCUUUUUUAAAGGAAAAUUUUCUUAAAACCUUUUGUUGUUCUUGUCCUUGCGUAUGGCAUUCCCUUUUUCUUUUAGGCAAAGGAUUUGAGGACCUGAUGACUGUGAAUCUAGCAAGGUACAAACCAACAGGAGAGUACGUGACUGUACGGAGGAUUAACCUAGAAGCUUGUUCCAAUGAGAUGGUAACAUUCUUGCAGGUAAUAAACCAUGAGUGUGUCACAUGGAGGGAGGGUGGGCUCUUGGCUCUGAUAGGAAUUACAAGGAAUUACAAAGAAAUGAAGGGAGACUAAACGUUCGGAAGUUAUGGAAGCUUUCAGUGGAGAAUCCUGGCCAUUUGGCACUAAGGAUUGGGCUGAAAUGCUGCUCAGCCUAAUUUAUAUUUCCCUUUUCUUCUCCAAACACUCCCUUCUGGCUUUUUUAUUCAUUUAUUUAUUAUUUAGAAAGAAGCUAAGUAACUUGCUCAUGGCAGAGGCAGGAUUCAAACCCAGGCCAUCUUGUUCCAGACACAAGGUGCCUGCCCUGCCACCAGUGGCCAUCUUCUGGCUCUCAGCCUCCUGUUUGCCUGAUGUUCCUUUCUUUUUCUUUUCUUUUUUUUUUUUUUUGAGACGGAUUCUCACUCUGUCACCCAGGCUGGAGUGCAGUGGCACGAUCUCGGCUCACUGCAACCCCCACCUCCCAGGUUCAAGCGAUUCUCCUGCCUUAGCCUCCCGAGUAGCUGGGACUAUAGGCGCACACCACCAUGCCCGGCUAACUUUUGUAUUUUUAGAAAAGACGGGGUUUCUUCAUGUUGGCCAGGCUGGUCUCAAACUCCUGACUUCAGGUGAUCUGCCUGCCUUGGUCUCCCAAAUGCUGGGAUUACAGGCGUGAGCCACCAUGCCCGGCCAUGUUUUCUUUUAUAAUAGAAACAUAGUUUUGGGCUGGGCACAGUGGCUCACGCCUGCAAUCCCAGCACUUUGGGAGGCCAAAGCAGGCCUAGGCAACAUGGCAAAACCCUGUCUCUAC